rnacentral:rRNA from 1 species
UUUUUACUUCGGUACAUCGGUGACAGGUGGUGCAUGGUUGUCGUCAGCUCGUGUCGUGAGAUGUUGGGUUAAGUCCCGCAACGAGCGCAACCCCUAUUGUUAGUUGCCAUCAUUAAGUUGGGCACUCUAGCGAGACUGCCGGUAAUAAACCGGAGGAAGGUGGGGAUGACGUCAAAUCAUCAUGCCCCUUAUGACCUGGGCUACACACGUGCUACAAUGGUUGGUACAACGAGUCGCAAGCCGGUGACGGCAAGCUAAUCUCUUAAAGCCAAUCUCAGUUCGGAUUGUAGGCUGCAACUCGCCUACAUGAAGUCGGAAUCGCUAGUAAUCGCGGAUCAGCACGCCGCGGUGAAUACGUUCCCGGGCCUUGUACACACCGCCCGUCACACCACGAGAGUUUGUAACACCCGAAGUCGGUGAGGUAACCUAUUAGGAGCCAGCCGCCUAAGGUGGGAUAGAUGAUUGGGGUGAAGUCGUAACAAGGUAGCCGUAUCGGAAGGUGCGGCUGGAUCACCUCCUUUCUAAGGAA